GUGACCCGGGGCACAGUAGGAAGGGAAAUGGAGACAGAGGAACCCGAGGGCCAGUGAGCCUGGCACACACAAGGUGCGGAAGAACAGAAGCCCAUCUCAAACAAGGCAGAAGCUUUACUCUGGAAAAUGAACCAUUCAGUGGGUUGUUUGCUUUUUACACCUUCCUGGCACCUGUCCAGAUUCUUAUGGCAUCACAGAAGUAUCUGCCCAGAGGCAUCCCACGAAGAAGAGCAACUAGAGAAGGCUAGAAGAUAAAUUACAUGAAUGUGUUGCUACAGACCUGCUAAUAAAACCUGCAACAGGAGGAAAGCAGAGGGCGUGAUCUGUUGGCAAGACUAUUUAGUUCCAACUAUCAAGGACUAAAACCACAAAGAACAUAUUAUUUCUUUAAACUUUAAAGGAACAGAGACUUGCCAGAAAGGAAAACAAAAAAAAAAAGUUUUCUAAUGCUGAGAACUUACUUAUAUAAACUCACAAAGAAAGA